rnacentral:lncRNA from 1 species
UAACGAUUUAAGUUCUUAAUGAAGUUGUGCAUGCUUGAAGAAAGACAGUAAUUUCAUGGGAUAGAAAUAAAUAAGUAAACGUUCGCAUUAAUUAACGUCGCGUGUCGACGAGUUGCGUGCGAUGAUAGUGCGUGUCGCGUUACCAGCUAUAUAUCUGGAAUCCUAUAAUUCUAACCUUCGAAGGUAUUUCCCUUCGUAGGCGUCGUGCGGUGGUUUUAAGGUCACGUGCUAACGAAAUCAGACAUAAACUUCCACUAAUUCAACGAACACCUGACCUACAAUUAAUCCGAACUACCCCAUUCUCAGUACUUAACUCGUUUGAAGUCGAAUUUGUUCCGUUUAUGUAGAGAAAUGAAAUAAGCGACAAGGUUUCGGAGGUGAAAAAUACAUGUUUUAGAUUUUAGAUGAUUUCAGUUCUACGCAAGGAAUGAAAGAAUACAUGUGUCAUUGAUUCCUAAACUAAUCUGUGAUGACACACUGUAUGCAUCAUAUGCAUAAAACUUUGCUUUAAUCUUUACGUAACAUCGUCUAUUGCUUCGUUUCAGUAACGUAUUUCCCCAGAUAGCUUUUUAAAAAUAUGUUUUUAAUACUAGCUGAUAAUAAAAUUCUUUUAGAAACCUGUGUUAUUGGCUGUUUUUAUCAGUAAUGCGUCACCGACUUCAAACAGAUUAAGCCUUAUAUUCCAUCUCUAUGCUUUCUUUCAUACGUCAUUGCGCCGAUUAAUCUCGUGAUACGAGUAUCUUUCCGCAAAAGAAUCGUAAUUUCAAUGCGACUCUGAUCCCUCGAGAGGAAAUCGGGAUUUCCAUUCGCUCGACUUGUCAAUCGAAAUUUCUCCGGUGUCCCCGAAGCAAUUUUAACCUUAUUCGUAGACCAGGGUGAGAAAACAGCACGGGAUGAUGUGUGAGAAAAGACACGAAAACAACGUGGAAACGGUGCGAAGUCACAGUUGGAAUAAAAAUCAGAGUUCCUUUCCGCGUUUCCGACGGGUUUAUUUAAUAUCCAUCGUGUAGCAUUUCUGCAAUCCAUAGUGCAAAGUGACGGUCAGUGGUCCACAACGGAUCGUAAAGCAACUUUUAGAUUGGCCGCGAUAAAAUCGUGUGACUCACACUCCAACUAUUUUCCCUGGCCGUUAUAGCAUUUCGAGCGAGUCCACGAAUCGACCCCGAUUUGCGUACGCACACGUACGGGAAACACUGUCGUGACUCUAGAAAAGGAAAAGAAAUAAAUCCAGGCGAUCUAUAGCUGUAGGAAAGACAAGCGUCGUCGACGAUGUGGAUAUGAGCUAGCGAGUGGGAAGGAAAAAGUGUCAGAGGGAUAGCGUGUCAUCGAUUUUAUGUAACCUAUGUUAGUGAAACGUGAAAUUUGGACGUUCACCUCUCGAGUAUAAUAUAUGACUCGCUAGGAGAGUCGAUAGUGCGUUUUUUAUCUUGUAUCGAUAAAAUGUCAAGUCGUCGUUUGGUCGUAUAACGUAUCGUAUAAGGAAGUGUUAUCACAAAGUUUCGGGUUAGGUUUGCUGUGUUAAUAGAAAAUAGAGGUUCAAAGGAAAUGAUUAAGUAACUAAACGAAGUACAAAAUUUUAAAAAUGGAAUGACAAAUAGACUCUAGAUGUUUAUGCAAAUUCGUAGCUUUAUGAGUAACUCCGAUAAAAAAAAAAGUUUCACCCUGUAAAUCAAUAUUUUGUGUAUUUUUGUGUAUCAUGUACUUUCUGUACAUUCUUGCGGCCAAAAAUUUCCAAUAAAUACAUAAACAUCCGUAGUCUAAUUAUAAGUCACGGUGAAUCAUAUUCACUCAACAUCGAUGAAAAUUUAUCCUUGAAAAACGUUGAAUUCGACACUCUAACUUAUUUUUAUACACUUUGAAGACAUUAAAUAGACACGUAUGAAACAUUUUUGUCAAUUUGGUAUUCUAUAUGGUAAUAUCGGCAAUAUUAUACUUUUUAUAUAAAAUUGUUUUUAAUAUUAAACUUUUACUCGAUAAAAUAACACUUCGUGGAAAAGUAUUUAAUACUUGUUCUAAAUAAUCGAUAGGAACCACGCAUAAUGUAUCCACACUCCGAUCGAAAUAAAAUGGAACCAUGUUAAGUAUUAUUUUGGUUGACCUCGUGUUCGGAACGAAUGAAAGCUACUAUAGAAAGGAUUUGGACAAAUCGAUACCACCAAGCAACUCCCCCGUGCCAAUGAUUCCAUCAUUUUAGAAUCUCCAGACUUGGAAACAACGAAAACAAUGUUGUCUUCGAUGAUCAUUUUCUUCCUUUUAAUAGCUCCACGGAGAUAACUUCGUUAUUUUUAUUUUAUUCGAUCAACAAAAUCCAUCAUCCUCUUGUACCACUGUCUGACCUUCGGCCCUCGUCGUAAGAGAAGGAUCGCCAGCGGGAAAUAAACGAGUAAAUUGCGAUUGAUCGAAUCUUCUGUUCCAAUAUGUCGUCGAUCGGCACAUCUGUUUUGUCAUCCCGUCCUUCGAUCAACCCCUAUCCAUCUAUAGAAACUAUUUUCACGGUGGUGGAGAACAAAAUAUUCGUCUGUAUCAAGAAAAAGGAAAGAAACAUAGAAAAUAUUAUAUAAGGCGUGGUGCAAAAAAUUCGAUAAUAUUUUAUGGAAUUUUUUCAUUUAAGGCACCGAGACACCGAGAAAACCUAGUUUCAAAAAAAAAAAAGGUUUUACUAAUAAUAUUAAUUCAAUUGAGAACUUUGAUAAACGCAUAGUUUUUACGUAUUGUUUGAAAACCAAGACCAAGUUAAUUACAAAUGAACAUUUAACAGAUCAUACCAUGUUUUUCCUUUUAUUUGUGAAUAUUGCUCGAUCAGUGACAAAAUAUUAAUUUCGAUUCUAACGAGAAUUUCAUAAUAAUAUUGUUUGAUAGGAUUUGAUGAAACGUUACUAAAACGGAUAACCGAAUGUUGGAAGGAAAUUGUUGCGCUACUUAGAGGGUAUUACAUUGUUGGCUUAAUAUUCAGGAAUCGAUCGAUAGUGAUACAAAGCAUCGACAUACUGUUCAGGAUUACUCCUGAAAAUAAUGAUACCCGUGGAUAACGAACUACGAAAUUACAUGGGGAAACCAUCGCGAAAUCUUGGAUCAACUUUUACCAGAUAUAAUUACAAUCUCGAAGGAAGAACCGUAUUCGUUAACAAACAUAAUGAAAUAUAUGACAUACAAUUUACAGAAGUCCUUAGAUAACAAAAACCUUCAACCACAAAACAUAUCUUUUGCUUACUCAGACUGUUGAACCUUAUUACACAAUUGAGCUAAAUUAGUUGCCCUUUUUAGUUGAAAUGCUUUGUUUAACAUUUUUCAAUUUUCAAGAUAUCUUGAAAUAUUAAGAAUUCUCCAGAUUUGUUAUCUUUCUGAUCGUUUAAAGUCAGCGACAAGAAUAAUCGGCGAUACUUGCGCGACUUUUCUGUAACUAUCAGUAAAGAAAAUCGUAAAAAGGAAUAGUCGGUUGCUCCACUUUUUAAUCACCCUGUAUAUUAAUUUCACUUCGAACGUGAACGGAAGAACGGAAGAAUGAAAACAAUCGCGGCAAGGGAAGAACAAUAAGACCGAGUUCGAAAGAAAAACAAGAACUAGAAGGAAGGAAGGAUGGAAAGAAGCAAUUUGGAAGGAAGAGAUGAAAUAUCGGGGCGUGAGGGAAAAGUAGAGAAGAAGGCACGGCGAGAGUCGUGAAAGGGUGAAAAUGAGAAAAGAAGGAAAACGAGAAAAUAUGAGGAUUUAGAAAAGAGGCGAGGGAGCUGAGACAGAAGUUGGAGGGAGAGAAAGGAACGCGCCAGUGGUGCGGAUAAGUUUUAUUGCGUUUCAUUUCGCCUGCCGCACUUGAGCGCUUUAUUUAGAGCCAAACGAGCCAGCUGCCCGCGUUUUCUGAUCUCACGGCGCCCUCCUGUCAAGGAAGAAACGCGGACGAUGAUGUAUGCUCGCCCUGUAAAAUCAUUACUUAACCCAUUAGCCGCCGAACAGUGAAAUAACGUGUGUAAGUUGUGUAAAAAAGGACGCUGUUUCGUCUGCUUAAUGGAUUAAGAAUUACUCGGGCAACCAAUGUCGUAAUUCUUAUGAGAAUUCACGCGAGAAACAUCAUGAUUGCGUUCAUCUUCUGGACGUUCCUCUUCUCGUGGAUGUUUCUUCUGCCUGUCAUACAUUCGAGAAAGUUUCUUAGCCAUGCAUGACAAGGGGCGUACAAAAGUUACACGCCAUGCGGUAUUUCGAGUGAUUAAAGGGACUUUCGUGGAACAGCUUCUGGAGCAAAGUUACUAGCAACAAAUUUAAGACCAUCAGUUUUGAUGACUUAUCUUUCCAGCAUGACUGGCGAACAUGUCUAAAUGUCGGGGAAAAUGCUUUUGUAACCGUAAGAUUUUAAAACAGGAAGCUAAUGUUCCUAACAUUGUAAAGAUCAGUAGAAACUACAUUAAUCGAAUAUUUUUUAUUACCUUUCAUUAAUUAACAAUAAUGAAAUCAAUACAUAUUUUUUAUGGUUUUACGAAGAGGAUAUACUGCGCUAAAAGAAGACCAGUUUCACAAUCCACAAAAAUUUUCUUGAAACAUUGCAAGUCUUUUCGUUUGUUGAAAUAAGAGCAAGAGGGAGACAGAAAAAUUCACAGUAACAGAGAAUGAGCCAAGGAUAAUGCAGGUAGAACCAAUAAUCUAGAGAUCAUUACCGAUUGUCGUUACGAUAAGAACAUACGAGACAAACGUAAAUGUAGCUGGAAGAUUUAAAAGGACGUGUUCACUUUGUGCCUGUUGUCUCGUUUACGACACCAUUGAAGCUAACGUAGCUCGUAAACCAAGGAAACUGAACUGCUGGAUCGUUGCACGGAAUACGAAAUGCCCGGUGAACAUUUUAAAUUCCAUCGAAACACGUUUAAUUAGCACGUGCACCAAUGUCUCGUGACGUCUCACGGAAUCAACGAGCCGAGAAAACUCAUCGUGCGACCAAUUCCGGCCGAAUGAUCGUGCUAUUUUCGCGUGUACUGCACGCACGUCCGAGAUGACGUGACUGUGCCAGGCCGCUUCUUAUUCGAGUCGCGUCGCGAAUACGAUGCUUUGUAGGCGAAAUUCUCGAAAUUGACGAUCGGCGUGCCGCUUUUGGCAAUUAGGAAUCAUGGAUGCGUAGGUGGAGCUUUGUGACGAAUUCCCUUCGUUACAGUGGUACACCGUUUCCCUUUUAAAUAGAGGAAUCUGGUGUGAAUAAUUCUUUAAUUUUAGAAAUUUUAGGUAAUUCCAGUAUGGUUGGUCCAUAGCUUUUGACAAUCAACUGAGUCAACGAUUAUUCUUGCGUAUGGGAAAAUUCAUUACAGUUUCGAUGCAUUGAAAUGUUAUUUUCAAAUCGAGAACAGCGGAACAAUUUUUAGCAGAUCUUCGAGAUUUAUAUCUAACUUGAAUAUGAAUGGUUCUAUCUAGAAUUUUUUAGACAAUUCAGCUGAUUGACAUAUCUACAGCUCCUGACGAUUGAAAAAUAUAGAAAAUUAAAGAAAGACAGGUUAAAAUUGGACAAGGAAAAUUUAAAAUAAAUUUUACUCGACCGAACCGAAGACAAUUAACCGGCCAUCCAUCCCAUAGGUCCAUACCUGUUACAAGCUCGCUAUUUUCCUGCGCUUUGGUCCUCGUUCGUGCGCAUAACCAAAUUAACGGUUGAAUAACUGUGUCUCUUUCUCUAUCCAUCUCUUUUCGUAACCAUUCGAACGUUUAGAUCCGCGAACCGUUCGAAUGAUUGAUUACACGCCCGAGGAUUGCUGACUUAAAAGAUCAUUAAAAGAUCGAUGGAAAUCUGCGAUGCAGCUGUGCAAUGUAACACAAAAACACGCGCAAACACCGAGAAAAUACGUCACGGUAUAUUCCAAAUACACGUGCGCGUGUAACACGAAAAUCUCAGCCAAGUUUGGCCUCGGAAAAGGUGCUGAAUUACCAGAGGAAGAUACGCAGAAAGUUUCUAUUCUGCGUGCUGAUACGGCCGAUAACAAUAGAAGCAGUUGUUUCUACUUUUGGAUCUUUCUUCCACAAUGCACCGGAUCAAACCUUUUCACAGUUUAUACGUAGCUUCAUCCGAUUAAACGAGAUAUAGCAGGUUUACGGAAGAUCGCAAAUAUUCUGACGAAGUAGGAAAUAAUUUUAUUGUAAAUAAAUAAAGAAUUAUUAAAAUAAUGAUUAAUACGAAUUUCUGUGGAUGUUUGUCGUUGAUAGAAAUUCAUAAUUAUAUGAAAACAAGUAAAAAAGGAGGAAUAUGAAUAGAGUUUUGUUUCAUCUAUGGAUUUAAUAUUAUAACGAAAAUACUACACUCUGAAUGCUUCAUAUACUUUUUAAUAUUCUGCGCAUACCUUCAAAUUUGUCGGAAAUGCGUAAAAAUCCUCAAUCUAAAUAUUAGUAUUUCUUGAAAUUCACGCUUUCAAAGUCGUUGAUUACAAAGCCACGAAGCAAAAUAAGUAAAAUGAAGAAAAUAAUUCCACGUCGAAUUGUAUCCAAGCACCAGCUGUGUAAAGGCGCGUGCAUAGAGUGUGAAAUGUGGAAGCGCAUGUGUGUGCAAACCGCGUGGAGAAGGACAAGAUCGUGCAAAUAUCAUGAUUA